rnacentral:lncRNA from 1 species
CUUUUUUAUGUGAGUAUAAGCCCACACAUUUUCCUGAUUUUUACUAUAGUUGCUUAGUUUAUUUGCUACCGCAUCAGUUGCUUAUGCUUUUUGUAGCUUGGAUGUCCUGGUAUGGCGUGUUUUAAGGUUUGAAUUGACUGAGAACGGUUUCUGAUAUGUGUCAUGCAGUUUAGUUUCUCAGGGGCUUCAAGCUAAAUGGGGGAAAAAUAGGUUCUGAUUAAUAUUUCUAGAUACAAAUGGAGCUGUGGUUAUUUUGAAAAAGGUGGUCAUCCAAGUUUUUCUUAACUACCAAGCAGUUUUUAACAUUUGCCAUUUUAAACUAUUUUAAGGAGGUGUACACUGUUUUGAGAUUGGAGGGGGUCCCUAGAUUGAUUGCAU